rnacentral:rRNA from 1 species
AACGAACGCUGGCGGCAGGCUUAACACAAGCAAGUCGAGCGCCCCGAAAGGGGAGCGGCAGACGGGUGAGUAACUCGUGGGAACGUACCCUUUGCUACGGACUAGCGCCGGGCAACCGGCAUUAAUACCGAAUGCGCCCGACGGGGGAAAGAUUUACCGGCAAAGGAUCGGCCCGCGUUGGAUUAGCUAGUUGGUGGGGUAAUGGCCUACCAAGGCGACGAUCCAUAGCUGGUCUGAGAGGGUGAGCAGCCACAUUGGGACUGAGACACGGCCCAAACUCCUACGGGAGGCAGCAGUGGGGAAUAUUGGACAAUGGGGGCAAGCCUGAUCCAGCCAUGCCGCGUGAGUGAUGAAGGCUUUAGGGAUGUAAAGCUCUUUCACCAGAGAAGAUAAUGACGGUAUCCGGAGAAGAAGCCCCGGCUAACUUCGUGCCAGCCGCCGCUGUAAAAC